CUGGUUGAUCCUGCCAGUAGUCAUAUGCASGUCUCAAAGAUUAAGCCAUGCAUGUCUAAGUAUAAGCAAUUUAUACAGUGAAACUGCGAAUGGCUCAUUAAAUCAGUUAUCGUUUAUUUGAUAGUACCUUACUACUUGGAUAACCGUGGUAAUUCUAGAGCUAAUACAUGCUUAAAAUCCCGACUGUUUGGAAGGGAUGUAUUUAUUAGAUAAAAAAUCAAUGUCUUCGGACUCUUUGAUGAUUCAUAAUAACUUUUCGAAUCGCAUGGCCUUGUGCUGGCGAUGGUUCAUUCAAAUUUCUGCCCUAUCAACUUUCGAUGGUAGGAUAGUGGCCUACCAUGGUUUCAACGGGUAACGGGGAAUAAGGGUUCGAUUCCGGAGAGGGAGCCUGAGAAACGGCUACCACAUCCAAGGAAGGCAGCAGGCGCGCAAAUUACCCAAUCCCGACACGGGGAGGUAGUGACAAUAAAUAACGAUACAGGGCCCUUUCGGGUCUUGUAAUUGGAAUGAGUACAAUGUAAAUACCUUAACGAGGAACAAUUGGAGGGCAAGUCUGGU
rnacentral:rRNA from 1 species